UUAGUACUCCCUCCGUCCGGAAAUACUUGUCGGAGGAAUGGAUGUAUCUAGAUGUAUUUUAGUUCUAGAUACAUCCAUUUUUAUGCAUUUCUUCGACAAGUAUUUCCGGACGGAGGGAGUAUAAA
rnacentral:pre_miRNA from 1 species